rnacentral:SRP_RNA from 1 species
GCUGGGUAUGGUGAUGCAUGCCUAUAGUCCUAGCCAUUUGGGAGGCUGAGGCAGGAGGAUGGCUUGAGCUCAGGAGUUCAAGGCUGCAGUGAGCCAUGAUCAUGACACUGCACUCCAGCCUGGGUGAUAGAGCAAGACCCUGUCUCAG